rnacentral:lncRNA from 1 species
GAAAGUUAUACUUUAUCCUAAUAAUAAGGUAGAGAAAUCAAAAUCAAAUUUUUUAUAUUUUUUUUUGUAUUUGUUUGUGUGUUGAUAGAGAGAGAGUCUAAAGAAAAAGACGAGCAAAUGAAGAGAGAAGAGAAACAAGAGAAGGUGAAAGCAUCAGGUCCGGUUUUGUUGCGUCCGGUAGCCGCAAGUAACUGCGACCAUCGAAGUCUCUCCUGCUUUUGUAGUCCACCCAAUCUCUCAUAUGGACUCUGCCAGUCUCCCAAGUCCCACCCAAUCUCAUACUCAGCCGUCGAUGUCAGAUAUCUAUUGGGUUCCACGCAGCUGUUCUGAUGACGUGGUUAGAUAUCAAUGGUCGAGACUAUAUCCAAGUUAUGGUCCCUUAUGUCGUGUCACAUGCUCCUGACGGACCAAAACACUCCAAAUCAGUUUUGAAACAAAAAAAAAUUAUAAAAAAACUGCAACAACUCACACAUGACCGCAUUAUUGCAAUAAUAUAAACUACUUGACUAAUUAAAUUAAUGAUAUAAACGUAAGACUACUGUAAUUUACAUGUCGCUUAAUGAAAUGAAAAAAAAUCAGGUUCUAACUAAAAUAUAUAUAUAACUCCAUAAUUGUACGAGGACAAAAGAAUAAGAUAUCUGAUACAUUAUUUAGAAUUUUAGUGCUUUUUCCUUGAGGGAAAAUGACAUUUCCUUUUCGUUUCUAGGAUUCCCCUUUCACUUUCUUACGAACAAAAAACAAAAAUUAUAUAUGAAACUUGG